rfam:Vitrella brassicaformis CCMP3155 genome assembly, contig: scaffold346
GGCGCGUUAGCACAGUGGUAGUUGCGUCUGCUUCGUAAGCUGAAGGUCCUGGGUUCGAACCCCAGACGUGCCU